rnacentral:tRNA from 1 species
GGGAGGAAAGCAUAAUUGUGUAAUUAACUUGAAAUUAAUAGGUGGCAGUUUAAACCUGUCUCUUCUCG